rnacentral:misc_RNA from 1 species
AUAUAAUAAUUGAUCCCUUCUACUUUUGUAAUUAGCAAGCUUUGUGCACGCAACGCAAUUAAGCAUCGUCUUGCAUCAUAAAUAGGCCCUUGACAACCUUUCAAAUUAACCUCUCUUGAUCACUCUGCUGUCUCAGUAGCUCCACUUUCUUGCCCUGUAAUCACUUUCCUUUCUUCUCCCCUAAUCUUCUCCACUUAUAUCAGCUCUUUCCAUGGCCUCCGUCCAGGUGCUGUGCUGUGUGUUUCUUUUUAUAUUUUAGUAUUUAGACAGAAUUAUGUAACGUUGGUUAUUGAUAUUUCAGGCUGAUACACCCGUCCAAGUGGUGGGCGAUGAGCAAGCUGAAAAAUCAACACAGCAAACUCCUGUUCUUGAAGAAAAGCCAGCCACCAGCGAAGAAGCUGAAGUAGUAGUGCACGA